AGGAACCGCAGACGCUCUGGGACUCAGCAGAGCCAUUCUGUGCAAUGAUGGUCUGGUGAAGAGGCUGGAGGAGCUGGAGAAAACCGCUGAACUUUAUAAAGGACUGAUGGAGCACACGAAGAGACUGUUAAGAGCUUUCUAUGAGCUCUCGCAGACUCACAGAGCGUUUGGUGACGUGUUUUCCGUCAUCGGUGUCCGUGAGCCGCAGGCCGCCGCCAGCGAAGCCUUCGUGAAGUUU